GAUUGACCGGCGAGCGGGAAAGUAAAAUGGCCGACAAUGGCGCAAAUUUCUAGUGAUAUUGGAAGGUGGACCUGCUUUCUUUGCCAUACAAAAGCACCACAACAUAGCAUUGAAAGUCUAACUGCACAAGAGAGUUCCAACUGCACAAGGAUCUUUGUGGAUGGUCAAUAUAGAAUCUACAUUAGAUGUUCAGAGUGCAGGCUAGUAUUUCACGCAGACUGUGCUCAUUGUGAUCUUGAAGAUAUAAUAACAGGGGACGACCCGUGCAUUUGUGAUGUUUGCGCAAACAAAUUAUUGAAGCUGUGAACUCACUAAUUGGCGUUUUAAAAGACACCCUAAAAAAAAAUUGUGGUGGCGCAAUCACUUCUUGUUUUAAGUUUAAUCAGCCUAAUGACAUAGGACUUUAAAUGUUCUCAUGUUAUGUUUAACAUAUUGUUCAACAGUUAAUGUUAUCACAUACCUAAUUGAAGAAAGAUAUUUGACUUGUGAUAUGACAUAUUAGCCAUGUGAAAUGACAUCUUAGACAUGUGUUAUGACAUUUUAGCCAUGUGUUAUGACAUCUUAGUCAUGUCAUAAUACAUGUCUAAUAUGUAAUAUCACAUGUCUAAGAUGUCAUAUCGCAUGACUAAGUUAUCAUAUCAUAUGACUAAGAUUUCAUAACACAUGACUAAGAUGUCAGGUCACAUGUCUAAGUUGUCAUAUAAUCAUAUGACUACGAUGUCAAAUCUUCUGUCUAAGAUGUCAUAACACAUGACUUAGUUGUCAUAUCACAUUUCUAAGUUAACAUAUCAUAUGACUUAAGAUGUCAUAUCACAUGUGUAAGUUGUCAUAACACAUGACUAAGUUGUCAUAUCACAUGUCUAAGUUAUCAUAUGGCUAAGAUGUCAUAUCACAUGUCUAGGAUGUCAUGACACAUGACUUAGUUGUCAUAUCACAUGUCUAAGUUAACAUAUCAUAUGUCUAAGAUGUCAUAUCACAUGUGUAAGUUGUCAUAACACAUGACUAAGUUGUCAUAUCACAUAUCUAAGUUAUCAUAUUUUAAUCCAUAAAAAACUCUUCUUAACUUACAUUUGCGCCAUUGUCGGCCAUUUUACUUUCCCGCUCGCCGGUAAAUCGAGAGCGGCGAAUUCGGCUUAUCAUAUGACUAAGAUGUCAUAUCACAUGUCACGUCAUAACACAUGACUAAGUUGUCAUAUUACAUGUAACGGUUAUCAUAUCAUAUGACUAAGAUGUCAUUUCACAUGACUAAGAUGUCAUAGCACGUCUAAGUAGUUAUAUCACAUGUCUAAGUUGUCAUAUCAUAUGACUAAGAUGACAUCUUAGUCAUAUGAAAUGAUAACUUAGUCAUGUGUAAUUACAGGGUUUUUUCUUUAUCUUUUAAUAUUUUUAUUUUAACUUAACAUUGUCUUCAAAUGUUUGAUUUUCUUACCUUUGUGAUUGUAUCAGGGAUAUGUGCAGCGGCAGUUGAAAGUAUAUUCAUCCACAGUUUGAAUAACCUGCCAUUGUAACUGUAGCAUUAGAGACUGUUUGGUUAGUAGGAAAUGAUUUCAUGGAACCAGAAAUUCUGAUAAGGAAGACUGCAGUUUAAAAGUAGUUUCUGUUACAGUUUAGAGGUUUGGGCUGUAUUAAUGCAAAGUGCCAUACGCAGUUGUAUUUUGUGCCCACAUGUUUCAAUUACUGUUUUUAUACUUCCACAAACGAAGUUUAGGGGGGUAUAUAGGAGUGAGCUUGUCUGUCGGUCGGUCGGUAUGGGUUGUCCGCUCUCUAAUUUAAGUAGUUUUCAUCCGAUCUUUCCCAAGUUUGGUCAGAAGUUUUAUCUAGAUGAUCUUAAGGCCAAGAUCGAACAUUGGUCUUGCUGGGUCAAAAACUAGGUCACGGGGUCACUUAGUGUGUUUUAAACAUCGAUAUGAUAUGAUAACUUAGUCAUGUGAUAUGACAUCUUAAACAUGGUGUCCGCUCUCUAACUGAAGUAGUUUACUUCCGAUCUUCACCAAACUUGGUCAGAAGUUUUAUAUAGAUGAUCUCUAUGCCAAGUUCGAACAUGAGCCAUGGGUCACUUACCGGUAGAAUGUUUUACACAUUAAGCAUGAUGUUCGCUGUCUUAUUCAAGUAGUUUUCAUCCGAUCUUCAACACAAUUGGUCAGAAGUUGUAUCAAGAUGAUGUGUAGGUCAAGUUCGAACAUGGGCCAUGCCAGGUCAAAAACUAGGUCACGUUACUUAGUGCGUUUUAAAUAUUGAUCAUGGUGUCUGCUAUGAUUUUGUGAAGACACAUGCAAAAUAUUCUGUGUCAAUGCCACCUGUGGGGGUUUUCGUCACGUCUGUGACAAAGCUCUAGUUCUUUUUAGCUCACCUGAUUGCUCAGGUGAGCUUUUGUGACCGGGCCUUGUCCGUCCGUUAACAUUUAUUCGUAAACACUCUAGAGGGCACAUUUCUUUGCCGAUCUUCAUGAAACUUGGUCAGUACAUUGGUUUUAUUGAUUUCUCUGACAAGUUGGAAAAUGGCUGAGAGCGGUGUAACACACUUUUUAGCUCACCUGAUUGCUCAGGUGAGGUUUUAGGAUUGGUUUUUGUCUGCCGUCCGUCCGUCAACAUUUGGUUUGUAAACACUCUAGCAUUCACACUUCUUAAGCAUUCUUUAUGAAAGUUGCUGAAAGAUAUAGGUCAAGUUUGAUAAUGAGCAAAAUCACAUAAUUAAUGCCAUAAUUAUUGCCCUUAGAUUGUGUCCAAAUUUUCAUUAUACUAUACAAAAUCAUUGUAAACACUCUAGAGGUCACAAUAUUUUGUUUCAGAUUUUAUGAAUCAUGGUAAAAAAAAUUCUUUUUUUUCUAAGCGAAGUUUAAUGUUUGGUAAGGGAGGGGGGUCAACUCAAAAUAUAGGUCACCAGGUCAAAUCUCACAAAAACACUCCAUAAGCCAGAGUUUUGAUUCAAUAAUGAUGAAACUUGACCAUGGUGUUUGUCUGGACAAUAUCAAGGUCAAGUUUGACGUUGGGUAAAGAUUGAAUGAGCCAACUCCUCUCAGGUGAGCGAACUAGGGCCAUCUUGGCUCUCUUGUUUAUUUUACUGUGAUAUAUGAGGUAUAUAUUGAUACAUGUGAUAUUUAUAUUUUUAUUUUACUGUGAUAUAUGAAGAACAUAUUGAUAUAUGAUUUUUAUUUUACUGUGAUAUAUGAGGAACAAAUUGAUAAGUUUUGUCAGACAGGUGUUUCAUACCUGCUGUCACAGGCAUGACAUAAUGAUAUACGCAUAAUACUCGUAAUAUGUUCAAUAUUUAGGAAAUAAACAAGUAAAACCAAA